rnacentral:misc_RNA from 1 species
GAUGAAGAACGCAGCGAAAUGCGAUACGUAAUGUGAAUUGCAGAAUUCAGUGAAUCAUCGAGUCUUUGAACGCACAUUGCGCCCCCUGGUAUUCCGGGGGGCAUGCCUGUCCGAGCGUCAUUGCUGCCCUCAAGCACGGCUUGUGUGAUGGGCCUCCGUCCUCCUCCCGGGGGACGGGCCCGAAAGGCAGCGGCGGCACCGCGUCCGGUCCUCGAGCGUAUGGGGCUUCGUCACCCGCUCUUGUAGGCCCGGCCGGCGCUUGCCGACACAUCAAUCUUUUUUCCAGGUUGACCUCGGAUCAGGUAGGGAUACCCGCUGAACUUAAGCAUAUCAAUAAGCGGAGGA